GGUCGGAGCUGCACGCGGCCUGCUGGCGGGUACACCCCGGCCUCAGCUGAACCACCGCCCAGAGUGUCGUACCAAGUGACCCGACAGGGCGAGCGUCUGAACGGCUGCUGGGUCCCGUGCUGUCGGGAGGAAGUGGGCGAAGGCUUUGAGGAAGUCCCUGCCUGAAAGCGCGAUAAGGUAUUUGCAAAUUCAUCUUCCUGGAUGAGAAUUUCUUGAAGUCGGUCAUGCGUAUAAACCAAGUGUGGUAGUGAACGCUUGUCAUCCCAGCAUUCUGCAGGCUGAGACAGGAGAAUCUUGAGGGCUUCAGAAAUUCACCAGCAUUGCUAAGAAAUCGUCUCCCCAGCCCCCAGCCUGGCAUCUCCCCGACCUCUGAAGAAGCUUUGUGCAGUUUCCCUUUUCUUCAGCUUAGAUACAUGGGUUUGGAGUUUACCACCCUGCCGGAGAGCUUCAGGACAUUUUCAGCCCAGUGACUGUGCUACAUGAGCUCAUCUGCCUUCUCAGAGUCUCGCGCUCUCCUGCAGCCGGGAUUCAUGAGAGCUCUACUCUGACAGCCCCAAGGAGCUGCUGCUACCCAUCUGGUGUCCUGAUGCCACCAGCAUCAUCCACGAAAUCUGUGGAUUGGCCCACUGCUGCCACUGAUUGCCUUCAGGCAAGUGGUCUCACCCCAUCUUAGGACAGCUCUCUCCUGCAGAGCCGUUCUGAGGUUUUUCAGGAGCUACUGUGUGGAAAGCACCUGGCAACAUAGAAGGCAUCUGGGGCGUUCAGGUCUCCAGCCAGACCUUCUUCCCACCAUGGCUUCCUGAAGUUGGCCAGGUCUCCUUCCACUCCCUGUAGUCAUUCAACAGUUACUCUUUAAUUACCUACUUUAUCUAAGGUAGAGCAUUUUCCCGGAGCUGGGAGCCAGCAUCUGUAACAUACAUGUGGCCUGAGUUUGAUGCUCAGCCAUGGGAGAGGGCAGGUAAAAAAACAUUCUCCAAACUUUCUGGGUAAUGUAGUUGGGAAGUGGUUGUUUUCGGUGUUUAAUGCAUCAGUUGACUUUUAAAGUGGUGUGUGUAUUGUUUAGCACUUAAUUAUUUCUCAAAGACAUGAUGAAAUAGUGUAGCCUGACACAUACGUGCCCAAGCUUGUUGCUCAGGGACAAAGGGCCAAGCAGUCUCCCUGCACCUCUCCCUGGACGGAAGGUGUGUUCCUGCUCCCUGGGAAGCACAAAUGCCUUUUGCUCUCACCAGGAGAGGUAGAAGGAAGGUCACAAUGGAUGGGGCCCAGAAGAGCAGAGGAAGGGCACUGGGGUGAUGCCAGGGUGACUGGCUCUCCCUGUUCCCAGCAUCCAGCACCACCAUCAUGUGUUCAUUUAUACAAAGGCAGCUUUUCACGCUCUGUAGCUUAGCCUGAGGUCCAUUCGAGGAAAGAAAAAUCUGUUCUACAUUUAGAAGCCUUUGUUGAUAUCACUUCUGAAGCAAAGACAGAAGGCUAAGUAUUCUUGAGGGAAAAGAGAAAGGACACAUUUGCAAAAUGACUUAACUGGACAAGAAGGCAGGAAAGAAUGACAAGAAAAUGGCUCCUUCCUGCCUCCCUGUCACUCAGUCUCAGGCCCAGUACAGGGAUGCUGAGGAAGACUCGUCGUCACACUCUUAAGUUCCAUGAUGGUCAAGGAAGGGAAAGGAACAAAGAGAAGGAGGUAGAAACUAAUUUUAUAUUUUUGCCAGCAGAGAAGGUGGUGGUAGGUUUUUGGUUGGCUUUUUAUUUUUGAGACAGGAUCUCACUUUAUGGUCUAGAUAAAUCUCAAACUUCAGAUCCUCCUGCCUCACCUUCUCAGUGCUAGGAUGACACAUGCACAACCCCCGCCCCACCUUCCUUUUGAAACAGAAUCUCUAAUAAGUUUCCCAGGCUGGCCUUGAACUCUCUGUAUAGCUGGGUCAGGCACUGAAUUUGUGAUUACUUCUUCAGUAAUUGAGAUUACAGGCCUGCAUCCCAAGACCCAGUGGAAACUGUGUGGUGCUGGAGAUGAACCCAGACAUCACUCAUGAUUGCCGAGUGUUUUUCUCCACUGAGCUCUGCUUCCACCCAAGAACAGUAACAUAGUGUGGAAGUUCCAAAGACUGACAUGCUCAUAGGUGAGGCACACCUGAAGGCUCAUCUAGCUAUAGUGAUAUCGGUGUCCCUGCUCCUAUCUAGCUGUAGUGGCAUCAGUGUCCCCACUCUUCCCCACCAUUCCUUGUUCUUAAACACAUAUAUAUGAGUGUUUAGCCUGAAUAGCUUUACCCCAUGUGCAUGCAGUGCCUAAAAGAGUCCCUUGGUGCUGAGGUUAUAGAUGGUUGUGAGCUACCAUGUGUGGGGAAGCUAUGCUGGCUAGUUUUAUGUCAACAAGACAGUCACUGGAGAGGAGGGAGCCUCAUUUGAGAAAAUGCCUCAAUAAGAGUUGCUGUAAGCCGGGCGUGGUGGCACACGGCUUUAAUCCCAGCACUUGGAAGGCAGAGGCAGGCAAAUUUCUGAGUUUGGGGCCAGCCUGGUCUACAAAGUGAGUUCCAGGACAACCAGGGCUACACAGAGAAACCCUGUCUCGAAAAACCAAACAAACAAACAAACAAAGGAGUUGCUGUAGGCAGGCUUGUAGGACAUUUUCUUAGUGAUUGAGGCUGGGCCCGUUUUGGAUGGGGCUAUCCCUGGGCAAGUCCUCCUACAUUCUAUAAGGAAGCAGUCUGAGCCAGUCAUGGGGAGCAAGCCAGUGAGCAGCACCCCUCAGUGGCCUCCGCUUCAGUUCCUGCCUAGUUACGGCCAUGCUUGAGUUCCUGUCCUGAGUGCCUUUGAUGAUGAGCAGUGCUCUGGAAGCUUAAGCUAAGUAGAUCCUUCUUCCCCAAGUUGCUUUGGGCCACAGUGUUUCAUCACAGCAAUAGAAACCCUAAGAAUUGAUCCCAAGUCCUCUGGAUAAGCAGCCAGUGCUCUUAACCACCCAGCCAUCCCUCCAUCCCAUUACCCCAUAUAUUUUAUUGCCUUAGGAAAGAUGAAGCUCAAUUUGCUGUUUUCAGGUUUGUCUCCCACUGGGUCUCCUGGAGAGCCAGGACUGCAAGCGCCCAAAUGCGUUUUCAUCUUCUCAGCAUCAGCAGCGGUGACUUUCCUGUGCUGCUUCAAUCAUUCCGUAUUCUUUUAGGAAAAGCUUUUUUUUAAAUGUAAUUCAGACUUACAGAGAAGCUGUAUACUUAGGCUGGGGAUGUGGCUCACCAGUAGAGUAUUUGCCUUGCAUGCAAAGAAACCCUGGGUUCAAAUGAUGUUACUGGAAAAGGGGCAGGGGCCCUGGAGAGAUGGCUCAGUCAGUAAGAGCACUUGCUGCUGCUGCAGAGGACCAGGGUUUGGCUCACCCACAUGAUAGCUCACAGCAAUCCAUAAUGCCAGUUCCAGGGGAUCUGAUACUCUCUUUGACAUUGCCUGUACCAAACAUGCACAGAGUACAC
rnacentral:lncRNA from 1 species